UUAACUCAAAUUUGUAUGAAGUUGGAACGUUUGCCUACGUUUGCCGCUAAGGGCGCUGUUCCAACUGCAUACAAAUUUGAGUUA
rfam:Bombyx mori DNA, contig: Bm_scaf13_contig10151, strain: p50T/Dazao, build 2, whole genome shotgun sequence.